UACGUAGGGGGCAAGCGUUGUCCGGAAUCAUUGGGCGUAAAGCGCGUGUAGGCGGCCUUGUAAGUCCGUUCUGAAAGUCCGGGGCUCAACCCCGGGAGGCGGAUGGAUACUGCAAGGCUCGAGUCCGGAAGAGGCAAGUGGAAUUCCCGGUGUAGCGGUGAAAUGGCGCAGAUAUCGGGAGGAACACCAAUGGCGAAGGC
rnacentral:rRNA from 1 species